GGUGUAGGGGUAAAAUCCGUAGAGAUCAAGAAGAAUACCCAUUGCGAAAGCGAUCUGCUGGAACUUAACUGACGCUAAUGCGUGAAAGCGUGGGGAGCAAACAGGAUUAGAUACCCUGGUAGUCCACGCCCUAAACGAUGUAUACUAGUUGUUGCUUCGCUAGUCGAGGCAGUAAUGCACCUAACGGAUUAAGUAUACCGCCUGGGGAGUACGGUCGCAAGAUUAAAACUCAAAGGAAUAGACGGGGACCCGCACAAGCGGUGGAGCAUGUGGUUUAAUUCGAAGAUACGCGAAGAACCUUACCCGGACUUGAUAUCUAACAAAUCAUCCAGAGAUGGAAGAGUGUCUGCUUGCAGAAAUGUUAAGACAGGUGCUGCACGGCUGUCGUCAGCUCGUGUCGUGAGAUGUUGGGUUAAGUCCCGCAACGAGCGCAACCCACGUCAUUAGUUGCUAACGGUUCGGCCGAGCACUCUAAUGAGACUGCCUUCGCAAGGAGGAGGAAGGUGUGGACGACGUCAAGUCAUCAUGGCCCUUAUGUCCGGGGCGACACACGUGCUACAAUGGCGUAUACAAUGAGACGCAAUAUCGCGAGAUGGAGCAAAUCUAUAAAAUACGUCCCAGUUCGGAUUGGAGUCUGCAACUCGACUCCAUGAAGCCGGAAUCGCUAGUAAUCGUAGAUCAGCCAUGCUACGGUGAAUACGUUCCCGGGUCUUGUACUCACCGCCCGUCACACCAUGGGAGUUGAUUUCACUCGAAGCCCAAAUACCAAACUGGUUAUGGUCCACAGUGGAAUCAGCGACUGGGGUGAAGUCGUAACAAGGUAACCGUAGGAGAACC
rnacentral:rRNA from 1 species